GUGGAUACCCUGAGGAAGGCUGCAGAAAGGACACCUUGUAUAAUGAAAGAAAGCGACACUCGCAAAACACCCCUUGAGCACUUCACAACCCUGUAUGAUUGAAUACAGACGGCCUGUUCUCUGCCUUCCACCGAUAGAAGACAAAACCACCAGCAUUUGGUCCUUUCAUUUCCUGCUGGGGGAUCCAUAUUUAGAGCCCACGGAUUUGACACAAAGUCCAGCAAAAGACAAUUCCCUUGAGAUGCUACCUUACUGCUGAGCCCUGCCAAGCAGGUUGGCCAAGAUGCUGGCCCCGAGUGAGGAACAG